GUGCCGUUGGUGUAGUGGUAACACACAACCUGCAACUUAGAGCUCUAAAAAUCGCCAGUAUGAGGUUGGUCCCGGGUUCGAGCCCCGGACGGCGCA